CCUACGGGUGGCACCAGUGGGGAAUAUUGCACAAUGGGCGCAAGCCUGAUGCAGCCAUGCCGCGUGUAUGAAGAAGGCCUUCGGGUUGUAAAGUACUUUCAGCGGGGAGGAAGGCGAUAAGGUUAAUAACCUUGUCGAUUGACGUUACCCGCAGAAGAAGCACCGGCUAACUCCGUGCCAGCAGCCGCGGUAAUACGGAGGGUGCAAGCGUUAAUCGGAAUUACUGGGCGUAAAGCGCACGCAGGCGGUCUGUUAAGUCGGAUGUGAAAUCCCCGGGCUCAACCUGGGAACUGCAUUCGAAACUGGCAGGCUAGAGUCUUGUAGAGGGGGGUAGAAUUCCAGGUGUAGCGGUGNANUGCGNANANAUCNGGAGGAAUACCGGUGGCGAAGGCGGCCCCCUGGACAAAGACUGACGCUCAGGUGCGAAAGCGUGGGGAGCAAACAGGAUUAGAUACCCGAGUAGUC
rnacentral:rRNA from 1 species